AGGGGUUUGAUUCCUGGGCUCAGAGCGAACGUUAGCGGCGGGCCUAACACAUGCAAGUCGGACGAGAAAAUCCCUUCGGGGGUGAGUAAAGUGGCGCACGGGUGAGGAACGCGUAGGUAAUCUACCCUCGGGCGGGGGACAACACUCCGAAAGGAAUGCUAAUACCGCGUAAGACCACGCUCACUAAGGUGAGAGGGGUAAAAGGUGGCCUCUUCUUGAAAGCUACCGCCAGAGGAUGAGCCUGCGUCCCAUCAGCUUGUUGGUAAGGUAACGGCUUACCAAGGCUAAGACGGGUAGCUGGUCUGAGAGGAUGAUCAGCCACACUGGCACUGGAACACGGGCCAGACUCCUACGGGAGGCAGCAGUGAGGAAUAUUGGGCAAUGGGCGCAAGCCUGACCCAGCCACGCCGCGUGAGUGAUGAAGGCCUUCGGGUCGUAAAGCUCUGUGGGGAGGGACGAAAACUUCCAUUCCGAAUAGGGUGGAAACUUGACGGUACCUCCUUAGCAAGCACC
rnacentral:rRNA from 1 species